UUUAUCUAAUUAGGUUAAUCAGAUUAGUACUUGAAGUUGGUACUCAUGGAUGUUAUAAAAACUGAUUGCUAUUCUCUCUUAGGAAUCUUUUUAAGUCAAAACAAAAUCAAUGUGAAGGAGGAAAGAUUUAUUGCAGUCCAUGGUUGGCUGGCUCCCAUGAUGAGGCAGUGCAUGAUGGCGGUGGAAGUGUCUUGCAGAGGAAGCUGCUCAUCUUGUGGGGAUCAGGAAACAGAGAGAAAUCAGAGCUAACAUAGAGUGAGUCUCUAUAAUACCAUUCAAGAGUCCACUUAAAGAAGACUCAAGAAAACCUCUUAUAAAGUGUUUCCUUUUGAUUUCUUG
rnacentral:lncRNA from 1 species